rnacentral:lncRNA from 1 species
AUUUUGAGACAGGGUCUCACUAUAUAGUUGAGACAGACCUGCAACUCACUAUGUAGCCCAGGCUGGUCUCGAACUCACAGUGAUCCUCCUGCCUCAACCUCCCGAGUGCUGGGAUCACAGGUGUGUACCACCAUGCCCAGCAGUGUACUUCUUCUUUUGAGAAGUGUUUAUUCAUUUCAGUUGCUCAUUUUUUGAUUGGGUCUUUUCUUUGGGGGGCAUCUAGCUUUUUUGAGUUCUUUAAAUAUUGUAGAUAUUAGUGUUAGAUUUCCCUUUCCUUAAGAUAGCUGCUACAUAAAAUAGCAGCCUCCUCCUUCCCAUAAUGCCACAUGGAAUAGCAGCCUCCUUCCCAUAAUGCCAUGUUAAAAUAUGGCUUCUCCCACCAAAGGACAGUCUUCUUGUUCCCAACAUGCCCCUCUUACCUCCAAGAAAGGUCUUCCAGCAUAUUGUUUAUGACAAUAACCUUUUGAUCCAGAUAUUCGCCCUUCUCUUCUGCUCCACCUACUCAUGAUUUCAGGUACAUUUGUAGGCCCAUACAGUUUC